GUAGGUGGCAAGCGUUGUCCGGAAUUAUUGGGCGUAAAGCGCGCGCAGGCGGUUCUUUAAGUCUGAUGUGAAAGCCCACGGCUCAACCGUGGAGGGUCAUUGGAAACUGGAGAACUUGAGUACAGAAGAGGAAAGCGGAAUUCCACGUGUAGCGGUGAAAUGCGUAGAGAUGUGGAGGAACACCAGUGGCGAAGGCGGCUUUCUGGUCUGUAACUGACGCUGAGGCGCGAAAGCGUGGGGAGCAAACAGGGAUUAGAUACCCUGGUAGUCCACGCCGUAAACGAUGAGUGCUAAGUGUUAGGGGGGUUUCCGCCCCCUUAAUGCUGCAGCUAACGCAUUAAGCACUCCGCCUGGGGAGUACGGCCGCAAGGCUG
rnacentral:rRNA from 1 species